CAUAACCAUUUAUAAAACAUAACCCUGGACCCCUGAUGAUGGGGGUUCAAACCCUCUCUCUCUAUAUGUAUGUGUGUGUGUCUAUGUGUGUCAUGGUCGCAUACUGUAAUAUUUCCCUUCUGACAGGAUUGCAUCAGCUGAAUGAUAACUGAUGUAAUUUACUUGUGGUCCCUUAUAACUCUCAUAUGGCUCUAUCAUAUGGCAAAUUGAAUGUUAUUUCUAGAAUUUGUAUUUCCUGUUCCAUUCAUUGCCACCAGGUGGCAGCUCUCAUUUAAACAUCUUUGGCCAGCCCAAUUAAAAGUGAGUAAAGUGGAAACAUAAUAUUACAGUUACAUAACUGACAUCAGAGAAAGUAUUACUUGUUUCAUCAGCCAUUUAUAAAAGCCAUUUUACUCCCUGGACCACAAGUCAUGUAUGUUCUCUGGACUCUAUGACAAGGUUAGAGUUCAUGUUGGAGCGGCAGGUAGCCUAGUGGUUAGAGCGUUGGACUAGUAACUGAAAGGUUGCAAGAUUGAAUCCCCGAGCUGACAAGGUAAUAAUCUGUCGUUCUGCCCCUGAACAAGGCAGUUAUAACCCACUGUUCCUAGGCUGUCAUUGAAAAUAAGAAUUUGUUCUGAACUGACUUGCCUAGUUAAAUAAAGGAAAAAAAUGUUCUGUAGGCCUAAUACAUUUGGCUGUUGAUUAAAUAUAGAUGUCAAUGCAUUCCAGCACACUGAUAUCAUAGUUGAGGGUCUGUUGCUGUCCUCUAAAAAGCUGAAAAGAAACACCUUUGCAGAGUGGAUGAGGCCAACACACAUACUGUGCCCUACAUUAUAUGAGCAUAACACUCAUGGGAAUUUCACUUACUCCAACAUGUUCUCAGAGCAGAACGGAUUAUGAUUGGUUGCAUCAGACAACCAAUGGAGGAGGUGGGAGGAGGUGCAGUAUCCCAUCAUUCAGGUCAUGUGGGGCAGACCUGUUUUGUGACCCACAUGUUUUGCUUGCCAGUAAACAAUUUUGCUGCUCUAAGGGAAGUUUGAGUCAACUGGGUCUUCUGCUGCUCUAACAGCAGAACUGUCAGUACUGGCCAUCAACACAGUCAGUACUGGCCAUCAACACAGUCAGUACUCCACAUUCCUCUUCCCCCAUUUUCCUACAUUAUUUUAUUCCCUAUUUAUGAUGUUGUGAACUUGUGACCCAUGUGAAAUCCACUUAAAACAAAACUCUUAAAAUAAACAUGAGUACUAACAUGUCAUUAUUUCCUGACUGUAAAACAUUCAUUAUUGAGUUGGCGAAGAUCACAUGAUGUACGUUGGGUCAUCUUUUUUCUCCUAGGCAUGUAACGAGCUGGGUCAGAUCUGGAUGUAGUCAGGUGUGAGUGAGCACGCCGUGUUUGAAUACAUCCAGCUCAUCAUACAGAGGUUUUGUGUAGAUAUGGUGUAGUUGUGAUCGGUAGUAAUUCAGCAGCACUCUUUCAUGAGGGAGACCGCCUGCUUCGACUGUAUGUCACAACACACACUAACUCUAUAAGCAAUUGUUUUCUAUUUAAUCUGACAGAGUUUCAGAGGAUCUGCAGAGAACAAUGGGAGUAGGAUUCAAUCUUAAUCCUUUAUUGACGUUUUGCCUGUUUGAUGGUUCAUCUGAGGCCGUAAGAGGAUUUCUUAUAAGCGUCCGGAUUAGUGUCUCGCUCCUUGAAAGCGGCAGCUCUAGCCUUUAACUCGACGCGGAUGCUGCCUCUAAUCCAUAGCUUCUGGUUGGGAUAUGUACAUAUGGUCACUGUGGGGACAUGUCAUCAAUGCACUUAUUGAUGAGGCCGACAACUGAGCUGGUAUACUCCUCAAUGCCAUUGGAUGAAUCCCGGAACAUAUUCCAGUCUGUGGUAGCAAAGCAGUCCUGUAGCUUUUCAUCCGCGUCAUCUGACCACUUCGGUAUUGAGCGAGUUACUGGUACUUCCUGCUUUAGUUUUUGCUUGUAAGCAGGAAUCAGGAGGAUAUAAUUAUGGUCAGAUUUGCCAAAUGGAGGAAGAGGGAGAGAUUUCUAUGCAUCUCUGUACGUGGAGUAAAGGUGGUCUAGAGUUUUUUCCCCCUCUGGUUGCACAUGUGACAUGCUGGUAGAAAUGAGUUAAACUGAUUUAAGUUUGCCUGCAAUAAUGUCCCCGGCCACUAGCUGCACCGCUUCUGGAUGAGCAUUUUCUUGUUUGCUUAUGACCUUAUACAGCUCGUUGAGUGCGGUCUUAGUGCCAGCAUCGGUUUGUGGUGGUAAAUAGACGGCUACGAAUAAUAUAUAUCUCUGUAGAUAGUGUGGUCUACAGCUUGUCAUUAUCUACUCUACCUCAGGCGAGCAUUACCUCUAGACUGUUUAAAAUAUUACACAUCGCACACAAGCUGUUAUUGACAAAUAGACACACACCCCCACCCCUCGUCUUACCAGACGUAGCUUCCUUGUCUUGCCGAUGCAUGGAAAAUCCCGCCAGCUCUAUAUUAUCCGUGUCGUCGUUCAGCCACCACUCUGUGAAACAUAAGAUAUGACAGUUUUUAAUGUCCUGUUGGUAGGAUAAUCUUGCACGUUGGCCAAUAGAACAGAUGGUAGUGGAGGUUUACUCACUCGCCUAUGAAUUCUCAGAAGGCAGCCUGACCUCCGCCCCCUUUUUUCACGCAAAUGACGGGGAUUUGGGGUCAUUCCCGAGAAAGCAGUAUAUCCUUUGCUUCGGACUCGUUAAAGAACAAAUCUUCGUCCAGUUCGAGGUGAGUAAUCGCUGUCCAGAAGUUAUUUUUGGUCAUAAGAGAUGGUAGCAGCAACAUUAUGUACAAAAUAAGUUUAAAAAAAAAAAAAGUGACAAACAACGCCAAAAAAAAUAACAAAACAGCACAGUUGGUUAAGAGCCCGUGAAACGGCAGCCAUCCUCUCCGGCGCCAUACUCGCUACUUCCAAUGAUUUUGAUCAUGUUAUGUUAAACUGUGUCUCCCUACUGUGUUUUCCACGACAGCCAAAGUGUUCCUGACUGUGCCCCUCGAAAACCUAGCUGCCAUUCACACUUAGAGGAGGGAGUACGAGACUGCAGAGUACGAGAUAGCCCUGAACAUCAGGAUGAGAGCUUGGACACCAACCCCUCCCUGGCCUACACCCUCACAUGAAAUUGUGCCAUUCUGAACUUAAUCCGCAAAGUUACACCAUUUGUUUGUGACUUGAGCCAUUUCUCCUAUCCAGCUGUCUUGUCCCCUCGUUGAAACUCCCGUGCGGACUCGGGAGAGGAGAAGGUCGAGAGCCGUGCGUCCUCCAAAACACAACCCAGCCAAGCCGCACUGCUUCUUGACACAAUGCCUGCUUAACCCGGAAGCCCCCCGCACCAAUAUGCCGGAGGACACAGCGUACACCUGCCGACCAUGUCAGCGUGCAUGCACCCGGCCCGCCACAGGAGUCACCGUUGCACGAUGGGACAAGGACAUUCUGGCUGGCCAAACCCUCCCCUAACCCGGACGGCGCUGGGCCAAUUGUGCGUCACCCCAUGGAUCUCCUGGUCGCGGCCGGCUGUGACACAGCCUGGAAUCGAACAAGCAUUUCUAGUGGCACAGCUAGCACUGCAAUGCAGUGCCUUAGUCUACUGUGCCACUCGGGAGGCCCAUACCUCUUUCUAAACCUUGUUUUCUCUCUUCUCUGUCCAUCUUCCUCUCCUCCCUCUCUUUCCCCCAGCUGUGCGGAGGGGGUCUUUGAGAAAGCAGCGGAGCUUUACAAGCGAUCCAUGGAGAUCAAAGAGUCGGAACAGUCUCUGGUUUGUGGAAGGCCCCGUGUCGACACUAGUCCUGUGGGGACAUGUUUAGCCUGCGAGGGUCCACACCUCUCCCACAUGCCCCCAGAAAUGCAUUGGUGGAGAAGGUCAGAGGGAGGGACCUUGCAGAGACUGAAAAACAGCUUCUAUCUCAAGGCCAUCAGACUGUUAAAUAGCCAUGACUAACAUUGAGUGGCUUCUGCCAACAUACAGACUCAAUCUCUAGUCACUUUAAUAAUUAAUAAUUGGAUGUAAUAAAGGUAUCACUAGUCACUUAAAUAAUGCCACUUUAUACAAUGUUUACAUACCCUACAGCUGGGGAUGGCCUUCAUGGCCAUAGCGGGGAAGAAGUCCUGCAUAGUGUGGUCGUCCAGAUCCAAACUAAUGCCAUUCAGAUCUUACUUGAUCCCUGAGCUGAUGCCGACUAGGCCAUACAUGUGUGCCAGGGUCUGUGGCACUAACCACACAAGCCACCAAAUCUUGUGUCGUGAGUGAGUUUACAGACAUUUAUUUAGAUUAAACAGAAAACAAAUGCUUAUAGAGUAAGUGUGUGUUGUAACAUGUUGCAAAGCAGGCGGUCUCCCUCAUGAAAAAGUACUACUGAUCACUACUACACAAUAUCUAAUCAAAACCUACUACCUACUACUUGACUGCUAUUGAGAUGUGUAGUAAACCAGUAGUGAUUUUAUGUAGUGAUUUAAGUAGUAAUGUGUGAUAAAUUGGGACGUUUCACUACUGGUGAACACUAGAAACUGUCUUUCCUACUCAAAUGAGUGUUUGGUUAUCUACUACGUAAAACCUCCACAUUCCUGCACAAUUCCUUCAUGUUCAUCAAAAAAUAAAUAAGCGUAUACAAACUUAAAUGCAUUUUUUAAAUAUUUUUUUACAUGAAUUACAUUCAUUAAUUAAACCUUUAAUCCAGUUGAGGCCUUGUCCUCAUUCAGCGUUGACUUAAAUAUCUUCAUAUCCUCUUUUGUUGUUGCAGACCCAUUUCUCCGCCACGUAACCUUGAAGAAAAUAAAGACAAGCACAAGAGACAACCAAUUAUAACUUAAGCCAUUACCAAUCAUCUGUAAACAGAGGUACAGAAGACAAGGUAGAAAAAUAUUCGAUAAACAACGUUUAUCUUACUAACAAUGGUCUCCAGUCUUAUGUCGAGGACGGUAUUGAAGCCAUGGGACAUUUUCUUUUGCAACGUGACCCAAAUGAACUCCCUUCCAGUGCAUGCCUUAUAAUAUUGGCUGAAAUAGUACUCACACAUGACUAUUUAAUAUUUCUAAACAAUUUCUUUAUCCAGACAAAGUGUACUGCUAUGGGAUCCCCCUAUGGCUCCUAACUAUGCUCAUUUGUAUGUGGGUUACAUGGAGAAACAGUACAUUCUCAAUCCUCUCAAAAACAUUUUUUUUUUUUUACCUAACAUUAUUCUUUGGAAACGGUAUAUUGAUGAUAUUUUUGUUUUAAUGGAGGGGUGAUGCAAACCAGCUCCAGGCGUUCCAUGCUUUCAUUAACUCUUGUUCUGAGCACCUGAGGUUUACUAUGUAAUCUGACACACAUCAAAUCAGUUUCCUUGAUCUUCUGAUCUUGUGUGAGGAUAAUGUUCUAUACACGGAUCUUUACAGGAAACCUACUGAUCCUAACAGUUUUUUGAAGGCUGAUAGCUGUCACCUGCUUCCCUUGAAAAACUGUUUGGCCUACGUCCAAUUCUGUCAAAUCAAAAGAAUCUGCAAAAAACGAUCAGAUUUUGACAGAAAUAAUGGUGAGGUGCAAAGAAAAUUCAAGGAGAGGGGGUACAAAAAUGGUCAGACCGAUACUGCCAUUGAGAAAAUCCCAAACAAAUUGAGACAUGAUCUUGCAAAAAUAAGCAUUCUUGGUCUCUCACGACGCUCUAUUCAAAGUGCUCUGAACAAAUUAAGGGAAUUGUUCACAAACAUUGGCACAUUCUAAGAUCUGAUAACAGUGUCGGCAAUGUGUUUUUGGACCCUCCCUUGGUCGUAUUUUUGCGGGGCAGAAAUCUCAGCUACCAAAAUACCCCUGCACAACUUCUAUUGGAACCUCUACCGGAUGGAAACUACAAGUGUGGUGGCUGUGCUCAAUAUAAUGGCACUUACAAAUGUGAAUCCUUCAAACACCCUCAAACAUGGAACCAGAUCCCAAUCAAAGGUGUCAUCACGUGCUCCACUAAGGCAGUUAUUUAUCUUAUAACUUGUCCUUGUAGUAAAAAUGAUGUGGAUAGAAUUAAGUGCAAAUUAAAAGUAAGAAUCUCUUAGCAUUAGCAUUAGCAACACGUUACCCUCCCCACCCUCCCUAAGGGGGUGACCUUGAGAAAUUAUUGUUAAAUUAUUGUUCAUUUAAAGACCCUUGCUCCCUUCGGUCUCAACGUAUCAUUUCGUUGUACUCCCUGACGAAGGCCAUGCAGCCAAAAUGCGUCUGAAUUUUAACACAUUUUAAAUUAAUUAUAUGAAGAGUGCCUUGGUCCUCCUUUCUUUCUGAGGUCUCAACGUGGACUUUGAUCUGUAGCCAUUCAUAUGAUUGGUGUGAUUUUGCUAUCCAUUGUAAAUGUUUGUUGGCCCAUUUAGCUCAAUUGUAUCUAUGAUCGGAUGAUAUUCAUUCAUGCUUUUUAUAUGUUUCAUUUACAUUUGUAAAUCAACCAAUGAAAUCAAGCCAAACCCGGACAUGAUUACAGACACGUGUGUGUCCUUUGACACUAUAUAAACUAGUGAUCCGCAGUGUUUGUCAUUAAACCCCGAGGAAGUCUGUUGAAACGUUGGUUAUAAAAUGAUUGGAUCUGAGCUCCUAGAGUGUGAGGCUCUCCUUUUCUUUUUCAGAGUCCCCUUGGCAACAGGUCAAAAGAGGUAAGAAGAAUGGGUAAGUAUACUAAUAUGAAAAUACUGUACGUUUGCAUAAAAACACAUACUUUUUAGCUAGCAUGAUGAAAACAGAGGCUACAUAAGUUACAUCAAUGGCUAAACAAUGACUUGAAAUGACAUAAAACGUAAAGCAAAGUUAAACUUCCAGAUGGUGCCAGUAUGUAUAAGGGCUGUGAAAGACCGGAUGAUGAAGGGUGGGUGGAAGAUGAUUACAUUCAGGAUGGUCAAACAGUAGUUAACUGACAACAACCAACUACUUCCUCUUUUGUCUUUCUUCUGUGGUCACAAGCACAAGAAGUGCAGCCACAAGCUGCAAAACUCUACUGAUCACUACUGAAGAGCCGGGCUGCAUUCCAAAACACUUAAAAGACACACCCUUUCCCCUCAGCCCUCAAAUUAAGUGUACACUUCUGACACUUGCAGGGCAAUGGGUGAGAGAAGAAUGAAUUCAUUUUAAUUGGACUGCUCUUGUCUGGAGAGCAGUCCAGGCAGGAGCAGGGGCGGCAGGGUAGCCUAGUGGUUAGAGCGUUGUACUAGUAACCGGAAGAUUGCAAGUUCAAACCCCUGAGCUGACAAGUUUAAAAUCUGUUGUUCUGCCCCUGAACAGGCAGUUAGCCUAGGAACUGUGGGUUGUCAUUGAAAAUAAGAAUUUGUUCUUAACUGACUUGCCUAGUUAAAUAAAGGUAAAUAACUUGUUCAACCCACAGUUGUGUCCUCAGUCCUCAUGGAACUGUUGUGUGUGCCUUAUAUGCGCUACAGUCAAUUAUGAUUCCAUUUUAUAUCUUGGCUAGAAGACAACACAUCUGCAGACAUUGAAUGUUAGCCAUCCUACUAUAUCAGGUAAAUCAAAAAUGACAAUGUAUAAGUGUGAUGUCAGGGAAAGUUAUGUGCACAAGUUAGCGUUUCCUAAACCCAACCAAACAAAAACAUCAUUACUUUUAUGAUACGUGUUUGAGUCGUCAUGUGCAUUUUCUUAGCGGAUGUACAAUCAUCGCAAAUUGAAUUAUGGGGCGUUUCAGGCCCGGAGUCCCAAACUCGAUCAAAAACAAGGGCUGAGGUGCUUAUGUUGCCAACUUCCCUUGCUUGGCUAAUCAUUUGGACCAACGACAGAGAUGGCCGCGGGGAUUCCCCCAAGGGUAUAAGGCGAGAGGGUAAGUGGAGGAGGGUGUGUCUUUUAUGAGUUUGAAACGCAGCCCUGGUAGUCUGCAUGUACUUUUUUAACAACUUAUUCACUAUACAAACAAGUAGUAAAAACUCUACCUGAUUUCUACUGAUAAGUCUGUAUAGUAAAGCUGAAAUGUUUUGACUACUUAUUUACUACCAACAUCAAGUCCACAAAAUCUCUACCUGAUUACUCUUAGAAAAAUGGGUUCAGAAAGACUGUCCCCAUAGAAUAAUCCUUUUUGGUUCCAGGUAGAAGUCUUUUUGGUUCCAUGUAGAAACCCUCUGUGGAAAGGAACCAAAAAGAGUUCCUAAAUAGGGUUCUCCUAUGGGGACAGCCGAAGAACCCUUUUAGGUUCUACAUGGCACCUUUUUCCCAAGCGUGUACUGUAAACACUGCUGUUUUCCUACUGAAAACUACAAAACUCUACUUGUCUAUCUUUAGUAGUGCAUAAACUACACAUUCACUACAUCAUUUCUACUGCUCUCUACAUAGUCACUACUGCACAAAUAGGUUUUGUGUAGUAAUUCAGUAGUACUUUUUCAUGAGGGUCUCCCCCGAUAUGAUGAGCUGGAUGUGUCCAGACAUGGCGUCCUCACUGACACCUGACUCCAUCCAGAUAUGUCCCAGCUCGUAACACAUCUAGGAGCAAAAAUACGACCCAACAUACGUCCUCUGAUCUUCACCAACUCAAUAAUGUAUGUUUUAAAGUCAGGAAAUAAUGUUAGCAGUCAAGUCAGAGUUUAUUUGAAGUACAUUUCACAUUGGUCGCGAGUACACACUUUACAUCAUUAAAAGGGAAUAAUGUAGGAAAAUGGGGGAAGAGGAAUGUGGAGUACUGACUGUGUUGAUGGCCAGCACUGACAGUUCUGCUCUUAGAGCAGGAUGGUCUAAGAGGUAAGAAGAAUGGGUAAGUAUACUAAUAUGAAAAUACUGUAUGUUUGCAUAAAAACACAUACUUUUUAGCUAGCAUGAUGAAAACAGGAAUGUGGAGUACUGACUGUGUUGAUGGCCAGUACUGACAGUUCUGCUGUUAGAGCAUCAGAAGACCCAGGUUACUCCAACUGCUCUAGGAUUGGACCCUUUUUUUCAAUUUUUGCCUAAAAUGACAUACCCAAAUGUCUGUAGCUCAGGACCUGAAGCAAGGAUAUGCAUAUUCUUGAUACCAUUUGAACAGAGACACUUUGAAGUUUGUGGACAUGUCAAAUUAAUGUAGGAGGAUAUAACACAUUCGAUCUGAUAAAAGAUAAUACAAAGAUCAAAAAUGUGUUUUCUUAUUUACAUUUUUUUCAUAUUUGAAAUGCAAGAGAAAGGCCAUCAUAUCACUUAGGACUCUAGGCACAAUUUAGCAGUGUAUGUGCAACGUUUUAGACUAAUACGAUGAACCAUUGCAUUACUGUUCAAAAUGUUGUAUCAAGUCUGCCCAAAUGGGCCUAAUUGGCCAAUUAAUACAUUUUGAAGUACAUAACUGUCCACUCUCCCCAAACAAUAGCUGGUAUUCGUUCACUGUAAAAGCUACUGUAAAGUGGACAGUGCAGUUAGAUUAACAUGAAUUGAAGCUUUCUGCCCAUAUAAGAUAUGUCUAUGUCCUGGGAAAUUUUCUUGUUACUUACAACGUCAUGCUAAUCACAUUAACACACGUUAGCUCAACCGUCCCAGCAGUAUCUAGUUGACAAAGUUCUGUUCGAAGAGCAGCAGCGCUGAUAGUUUAACUGAGCUGCUUCUAGAACAGCAACCUUUCCUUUCUGCUCCGAGAAUACGUUUGAGUAAGUUAAACUCCCAUGAGUUUACGUAACAGGCUAGGUCCAUUGUAUCAGCCAAUGUUAGUAAAAUGCUUUGUGUUAAGAAUUCAUUGAGGAAUUAGAUUUACUCUGCUGUGCAAAGAGUUGCCUCUUUUGAUUCUGGACUUCAUGGUGAGUCAUCGUUAUACUGGUAAGCAGCUCCAGAAGUGUUGGGCUGUAUAAAGUAGGGACGUGAGGCUCCUUUUUAUACAACAAUAUGUAGGACAGUCAAAUAGACCUGCAAAAAGGAGAUGCUUCACCUCAUCAAAUAUGAACAGGAUGCUAUUAUACCACAACAAAGUGCUUGGACCAUAACAAAAACAGACCUUUACUUAAUUGUUCCAGUGACGGUCAGUGCCGUUUAAGAUUAUGGAGGCCGUUUUUUUUUAUGAGCAUGGCCUUAUUUCUAUUACAGCAUCUUGGAUGACUGUCAUUCAUCUUCCAUUCACACAGCUCAAUGUAACAUCGAUAGGUUUAGGCUACUACAUGAUACUGUCACGCCCUGACCAUAGAGAGCCCUUGGAUUCUCUAUAGUGGUUUAGGUCAGGGAGUGACUAGGGGGGUGUUCUAGAAUGUGUAUUUCUAUGUUGGUGGUUUUGUAUGGCUCCCAACUUUAGGCAGCUGGUAAUCGUUGCCUCUAAUUGGGGAUCAUAUUUAGGAAGCCCUAUCGCCCACCUGCUUUGUGGGAUAUUGUUUGGGCACUAUGUAUUCACGUUCUUUAAGUUUUGUUGCUAGUUUUACUUUGUAUUAAAAAGAUGUUGAACUCAAUGCACGCUGCGCCUUGGUCCGUUCAUUUUGAAGAACGUGACAGAUACAAACAUUUUUCCUAGCUGCUCGAGGGUGUAAUCGUUCAUCAAACAGUUGCAAACAAGAGUUUCUAUUGGACAAACUCUGGUAGGUUUAUCCCGGUUUCGUUCCAUUUGCUUCUGUUUAAGAAACGUUUUUCAACAGAAU
ensembl:lncRNA